CCAGAGCGCCUUGGGAUUCUGACGGGUCUGAGUAGGCAUCUGCAGGUUCCCGGCUGGAUGACCUUGAGCAAGUUUACCUGCUCUGCUCUGUCGGAUGGAGGAUUAAAUGAGAUCAUGGAACGUUAUUCAGCCAGAAAAAGGGAUGAAGUCCUGGUGCAAGUUACAACACCUGUGAACUUUGAAAACUAACUGGAAGAAGCCGGACACAAAAGGUCACAUACUGUACGAUACCACGUAUAUGAAAUGUUCGGAAUGGAUUGCCCUUUCGUGGCAUAUUUAAAGAGUCUCCGAGGUAAAUCUCAGUGAAACAAUGGCCACACAGUCCAUCAGGAGCGAAGCCAGGAGCA